UAUAGAUAUAGAUAUAGAUAUAGGUUGCAAGAUUAAUCAUAAGUUGGUAUCUAUUGAUAAGUGUUCUAGUCAGGGACUUUGUUGGCAAAUAAGAGAAACCUUCUACAAAGACUUAAGAUUUUAGUGGAAGGCUAUUUGGUAGAUAUAGAAUUGGUGGGAGGCCUGGACAGUAAGGCUGGGAAAAUGGGCAGAAGGCUAGGAACCUAGCCAGGCCGUACACAGUCUGUUUAGCAUGUUUAGCAUCCUGCUGCUGUCCCCACAGCCCCAGGGCACAGGCCUCCUGACUUCUCUUCUAGGUUAAAUCCUGGGCAGGGCUUCCUGUGAGCUGGUUUUAGGCCACCCACCUGGGCUAUGGAAGAAGAAUACUUGGCUUUUUUAACAUCAGUGGAGAAAGGCUGGCCUUUGAAUCUAGGAAGGUAUGCGUCCCUUUGGGGAUGCACUAGCACUCCCCAAAAUGACUGCACACACCCAUGAUUGUGAAAUAUGAGAGAUGUAGUCUGUUUCCCUUCUUUCUUCUGUCUCCCUUCUUUCUUCUGUCUCUUUCAUCUGAUCAAGAAGCCCUUAUUGACUGCCUUCUAUGAUCAGAAGCUGUUGUAGGCACAACAUAUGGAAAUCAAGAAACCAAUUUCUGUCUUCAAGGAAUGUAUCAUCCAGCAUGGGAGAGUUAGAUGCUUAAAGCAAUCUACCUCUGCCAUCGGCUCGUCCCCACCCACCAAACCUGUCUUGUGGGGACCUGACCUCCGCCGGCUGACUCACACCUGCAUCAGCGCUGGGCUGACGCCAGGUCCUCAUCCCGCUUCCGGUCCCCGCGGUGAGCUCCAGUCGGGUUUCCUGAGGGGAGCCGCUUUCUCUUCCGCCUUCUGAAUUAGAUUCCCCAACAACAGGUUGGUUUCCAAGCUAAGGAAAUCUGAACUUACCUGAUGGUGUGAAGCAAUGAUUUACUGAAACCUCCCCUUCAAGCCAAACUCAACCAACAAAGAACUAUGCGAAGACAUGUGCAUGCCAUGAAAUGCCAGUUAGACAGGUGCCUGUUGGGGAAAUAUUAUAACCAGAAACCCCAGGCAAAUGUUUCCCGGACCGAAACUCACCUGGACUCCGGAACACACGUCCUGUGAAGUGUGUGGGCACAAUGAGAGUGCCCUCUGCUGGGAGUAAGGAGUAUUUUCCAUGAUUUGUCUGCCAACAUGAAGGUGUGCUAUGUA